UUUUCCCAGGCCUCUCGCAUUCUUCUGUUCACACAUAACACUCCACCACCGGUCCACCGCAGCGAACAAUUAAACCACCAGCGUCGCAACCGAAAACCACCAACAGAUUAUUCAUGGCGGUGCUUAGAACGAUAGUGAACCUUCGAAUUGUUGCAGCAGGUUAGGUACUCUCCAUUUUCUCAAAUGGCAACAAAACCAUCUAGUAUUCUCCAUAAGGAGCCGGAAAUGUCCCCCGAGGAGGAGGAGAAGGAAAGGAAAAUAAAUGCCCUGUGGAGGGAGAAAUUAAUAGCAAGAAAAAUAAGGCAAAGAGAACGUACUAAGGCACAUUUUGAAGCUAUGGGGCUGGAGACUGUUAGUUACGAUCCCAAAAUUGCCGAUUAUGACUACCUCCUCCUUCCCCCAAGCGAGCUGCGCCAUUGGAGAUUGAUCCAAAAAGACAGCAGUCAUUGCUCAACAACUGAUCCCAUGAAAGCUGAUAAAGCCCGUGAGGAGGAGGCUAAUGGAGUAGAGAGUGAAGUGUAAAUAGAUGUUCAAGUUUAAUCAGCUGGUGCCUUGGGGGAAAGUAGUUGUGCCUCAACCUGCUCUCAUUUCUCAUUUCGCGGAACUCAGUCUGCACACAGAAACCAUCCUAUGAAGUCCUACACCUCCUGAUAAGAUCUUAGUUCUCCACUUUCAAGCUGGCUAACUUGCUUUGUUAUCGAUUCUUGAGCUCACAUCGUUUGACUUCACAUUGGUGUCAGAACAGUCCUCAUCCACCUCUGGAGCCAAAUCAUUUGGGCUCUCACUCUUAGAGGCGGACACCAGGACACCAGGUUAUAUAAUUAGCCCAACUCCCCCUUUCAAAACAUUCCUCUAUUACGCGUCGCAAGUGUAUUCAGCAUCGGACCCACCGCGGGCACACCCAGACGAGGGGUUUAAAUCAAAGACAUGUAAUGAGGGAGAAAAAUGAGGGGAAGUGGGAAGCGUGCAGCAGAGUUCUGUAUCUUUCUGCUUUUGAACAGUAGCUAGCCAGCUACUAACAGUACAAGAAGAUCAUUUGUUUUACCAAGAUACAUUGUUAAUCUUCCAUUCUUGCUCUCUUCCACCGUUACUUGAUCAUCAUUUUUAUUGCUCUUUUUUGCUUUGUAGCAUGUUGCCUUUGCUUUUCCAUGCUAUACCUCGACAUGGUCGUGUCUAUGUUUCCGGCAUAU